UUGCGCCGGGUCAAAGGUCAGCUGCUCAAAAUGGCGGCGUCAGUGACCUUCUACCGGCUGCUGAGCCGGUGCGGCAAGGCGGCGCGGAGCCGGCCCCUGGGCGCCAGGUGUUUCGGGGUUCGGGUCUCGCCGACCGGGGAGAAGAUCACACACACUGGCCAGGUUUAUGAUGAUAAAGACUACAGGAGAAUUCGGUUUGUAGAUCGUCAGAAAGAGGUGAAUGAAAACUUUGCCAUUGAUUUGAUAGCAGAGCAGCCCGUGAGCGAGGUGCAGACACGGGUGAUAGCGUGCGACGGCGGCGGGGGAGCUCUUGGCCACCCGAAAGUGUAUAUAAACUUGGACAAAGAAACAAAAACUGGCACAUGUGGUUACUGUGGGCUCCAGUUCCGACAGCACCCCCACUAGAGCACGUGGCACGCUGGGGGCCCCGCAGCGUCCUGUGAACAUUUCCACGGGGAAGAUGAGCGCGUGAAGCUCGCUGGUUCUGUGCGAAGGGUAUUCCCGGUGCCGAAUAAAGGGUGGCUCCCGGGCAGGCCUCCCUGUCCCUGCCCG